rnacentral:rRNA from 1 species
GCCAGCCCGCUCAGAAACUCAAAGGAAUUGACGGGGGCCCGCACAAGCGGUGGAGUAUGUGGUUUAAUUCGAUGCAACGCGAAGAACUUACCUGGUCUUGACAUCCCGGAGACCCUUAGGAAACUAGGGGGUGCUUCCAUCUGGAAGAAUCUGGAGACAGGUGCUGCAUGGCUGUCGUCAGCUCGUGUCGUGAGAUGUUGGGUUAAGUCCCGCAACGAGCGCAACCCUUGCCUUUAGUUGCCAGCAGUUCGGCUGGGCACUCUAAAGGGACUGCCGGUGUUAAACCGGAGGAAGGUGGGGAUGACGUCAAGUCCUCAUGGCCUUUAUGACCAGGGCUACACACGUACUACAAUGGCCGAUACAAAGGGCAGCGACACUGCGAGGUGAAGCCAAUCCCGUAAAAUCGGUCUCAGUCCGGAUUGGAGUCCGCAACUCGACUCCAUGAAGUUGGAAUCGCUAGUAAUCGUGGAUCAGCAUGCCACGGUGAAUACGUUCCCGGGCCUU